rnacentral:rRNA from 1 species
UCCUACGGGAGGCAGCAGUGGGGAAUCUUAGACAAUGGGCGCAAGCCCUGAUCUAGCCAUGCCGCGUGWGUGAUGAAGGCCUUAGGGUCGUAAAGCUCUUUCGCCAGGGAUGAUAAUGACAGUACCUGGUAAAGAAACCCCGGCUAACUCCGUGCCAGCAGCCGCGGUAAUACGGAGGGGGUUAGCGUUGUUCGGAAUUACUGGGCGUAAAGCGCACGUAGGCGGAUCAGAAAGUAAGGGGUGAAAUCCCAGGGCUCAACCCUGGAACUGCCUCUUAAACUCCUGGUCUUGAGUUCGAGAGAGGUGAGUGGAAUUCCGAGUGUAGAGGUGAAAUUCGUAGAUAUUCGGAGGAACACCAGUGGCGAAGGCGGCUCACUGGCUCGAUACUGACGCUGAGGUGCGAAAGUGUGGGGAGCAAACAGGAUUAGAUACCCUGGUAGUCCACACCGUAAACGAUGAAUGCCAGUCGUCGGGCAGUAUACUGUUCGGUGACACACCUAACGGAUUAAGCAUUCCGCCUGGGGAGUACGGUCGCAAGAUUAAAACUCAAAGGAAUUGACGG